rnacentral:sRNA from 1 species
UAAUUAAUCUCAAACACAAACUUUGAUUUUUUUCAGCUUCUCCUCAGGACAAGAAAUCUCCUGGCACCAACAACAACUAUCCCCAGGCAUCACCCUACAAAAAUAUUGAGAGAUCUCCAUUUAUUUAAAAAUAAAAUACGGAGAUAAUCGUUAUUAUGGAUAAUAAAGUUCAAACACAUCUCUGUAAUAUACACACAUUUUUUUU